rnacentral:pre_miRNA from 1 species
AAAGUACUCCCUCCGUCCCAAAAUUCUUGUCUUAGAUUUGUCUAGAUACGGAUGUAUCAAGUCACAUUUUAGUAUUAGAUACAUCCGUGUCUAGACAAAUCUAAGACAAGAAAUUUGGGACAGAGGGAGUAGUUG